rnacentral:lncRNA from 1 species
CUUUCCACGUUGCACAAGCCCAGCGCACGGUACCCACUGGAUAUGCCCGAGGCCUCCAGAGGAAAGGAAAGGAGGAAAAGGGACAGAAGAAAUGUUCACAGGAACUGCAUAUGGGCCUGCUACUUGUGUCAAAAUGUGACUGAACUCUCUUCCAGCAGUGUGAAUCCCUGGAAGGCAAGAUCGCCAUUCUGGUCUCUUGUGGAUAUCAAUGCUGAUCUCAGCUUCUGAUGCACGGCAGUCAAUUAAUAAAUGAUUGUUGCCUGAAAAACUGAGCCCCAAAACAAUAUUACAAGUUUAAUAUCAGUAAAGGAUUUAAUGCUUUCUAACAUGAAGAUACCAGAAGUUGCUGAUUUUUGUAUAACCCAGAGAUGGAUUUAAAUGCAGAGUGUAUGAACUUCUUCAUUCCUGAGGGAGGACUUAUGAUUUCAUGAGAAAUGCCCUAGGAAAGGGGCCGGGGAGACUGAUGGAGAAGAAGAGUUUGGGAGGGAAGCCCCAAGGACCAUCUGCCCCAUCAGAGUCACAUGCAGAGGGUCCUGCUCCUGCCGUUGGAAGUUGGCUUCCUGAGCUGCUGAACGUGCCAGUCCUGCUGACCCACUCUCAGAUAUCACAGGCACCCGCUGUGUCUGACAGAGACCUUUCUGCAAGUACACGUGCAGGUCUGCUCUGCAAAGGCGUUAUCAUCUGCAGAUUAUUGCACAGAGUGGCUACGAGCUGUGGUGUGAUCCUGUCACAGAGAGAGCCUGGUCACGUUUUCAGAACAGCAGGAAACAGGUACACCUGUAAGCUUAUACUUAUCAGAUUUAAAAAUAAAACAAAAAAUCCAUGCUAUUCCAUGAAAAUCGGACUCAAAUAAACUUAGUCACUGAUCUGUGAAGUAAAUAAUCUGAUGGUAAUGCAUCAGUUGACACUUGGGCCUGGGUUUUUAGGCACUAAUGAAAGCCAGGGGCAAAAUAAUUUUUAAUCUACCAUUAUUUCCCUUGAUGGUUCGACAAAAGUUCUUGUACUAGAAAGUUUUAUAAAACUACUUUCUGAGUGUCCUGUGACAUUUCUCUGAUGAUAUAAAAAGUCAAUAUUUGAUAGCUUAAAUAUCAAUAUUGACAGAAAUAUGAUUAUUUAAAUAAAAACACAAAUAGUAAAAUAAUUUUAUAUG